AUUGAACGCUGGCGGCAGGCCUAACACAUGCAAGUCGAACGAGUGGCGGACGGGUGAGUAAUGUCUGGGAAACUGCCCGAUGGAGGGGGAUAACUACUGGAAACGGUAGAUAAUACCGCAUACCAUCGGCUGUGCCCAGAUGGGGUUAGCCAGUAGGUGGGGUAACGGCUCAACUAGGCGACGAUCCCUAGCUGUUCUGCGAGGGUGAACAGACAGACUGGAACGGGUACACGGGCCAAACUCCGACGGGAGGCAGGCGUGGGGAUUAUUGCACUAUGGGCGCAAUGCUUGUGCAACCAAGCCGGGUGUAUUAAAUAGGCCUUCGGGUUGAAAAGUUCAUUCAUCGGGGAAGCGGUACUCGCAGAAGAAGCACCGGCUAACUCCGUGCCAUCAGCCGCGGUAAGAC
rnacentral:rRNA from 1 species